UCACGCUUCAACAAAACCAUGAAUCACAUAAGUCUCAAACUCAAAGAAGAAUUCAUAAAACAUAUAUCAUACAGAAUCUGAAAUUUCAUUCUGACUUUCUCUUCCAAUAGCCUAUCUUAAAGUGUACCUGGGCUAUGCCUAUAUAUUAAUGAAAUAACUUAUUACUUAUCAAAAAUAAAAAUAUGCAUCAAAUGAGGAGGCCUUAUCUGUUGGAGCGUCCAUGGUGGAAAAUGAGUUUGGGAGUGGAUGUGUGAAAGGUGGGCAAGUGGCACAUUCAAGGAGCAGUCUCUAAGAAACACUACUAAUAGAAAAAAAACAAAAAGUGAAACAUACAGGUGAGAGGAAAUCCUUUGUUAGGCUAUUGGAAGAAAAUCGUGAGACGGCACCAAACCUCAUCGCUCUCUAUGAAGAAACGCAUUGGUCAAGGGUGAAGGGCAUAUUUAUAAAUGCAACAACGGAACACAAUUAUAACCUUACGAUGGAGAAAUUAAAUGAGAAAGACCCCAAAGUGGAAGGUGAUGAUGCAGUUGUGAUUGUUUUCAAAGAAGUUUAAGGAUUCAGAUCUGGGUAUAUGCACAAGGGCUGGGACAUUAGGCAUUCUCGAUCCCUCUCCUUCGAUGCAAAAGAACAAUACAUUUCUUUGUCUAGCCAAGGAGAAUGAAAGGAACAAGACCUGUGUAGAAAUUUACAAGACUAAGCUAGACCUGAUUAUGGGUGAUAUGGAUGCAAUGAGGGGCUUUUCUGAUUAUGAGAAAGCAAUGAACAUUCGGGUGUCUAAGUUGGAGUCGAAUAAUGAGUAUCAUAGAGAGACUCAACAGGAUGCUAAGGCAUCUUUCUUACACUGAUUUUGGACUUUUUGUGGAUAUUUUGGUGGAUUGUAUCAAUCUUGUGGCCAUUGGGGUGUGAAGUUUGAAAUGCCUCACUUUUUUUAUGUGCAGUGUGGGAAGUGUUAGGGAUGUUAAACUAGAACAAUAGUCAGUGGUUAGUUGUCGUUAGGGACUGUGUAUUGUAUAGGUCAUCAUAUUUUGGGAAGUUGCAAGAUUGAGAUGGUAUCUGCUGGGUGCUACAAGGCAGGGUGAUGGAACCUGUUACUUUCCAUGAAGUUUGUGGUUGUUAUGAUGGGGUAAUUAUCUCUUAUAUUAUGGAUGGUUUUUAGUGCUGAUUAUAUAUGUAACCAAUUGGAUGCCUAAAGACAAUUGGUGAUUUGUAUGCAGGUUCCACACCAACAGGCAGCAUAUAAGAAUAGCUGAUACUCAGCCAUGUUUAGCAAAGUUGGUCUAGAUGGGAUUUCGUGGAAGGCAGUGGUGAAGAGAAAGUACUUUUUGAAGUAUUCACAACCAUCAACCAUUACAAAAGUAUAUUUGGACAAGGGUAAGGUACCAACAUUUUACAACUCUGAAGUAGCAAUUGAUUGAUAUUUUUCAGAUUUGAUAUGUUUUGAUAUGGAAGUGUUCUUAGAGCAUCAAUAGUUUGGUCAUCAUGUGUAAAUAGCUUGAUAUGCUAGGGUGUGGAAUGAAUAUGUUUGGAUUAAAAACACCUGGUGCAUAUAUGAAUAUGUUGGAAAGACAUAUAUAAAGGCAGACUUAGCAUUAAUCCCUAUCAAGUCUACCAUUUCCAUAAAACCUCACUUGAUUUUAUAAUGCUGAGGCAGAUAGUGAACUUGUAUGUUAUAGUGGGCUGUUAUAGAUUGUUUGUUUUGGGGGGAGGGGGCUGCAGAGGAUGUUAUGAAUAGGUUGACUAAGGUGUAUGAAAUCACCAUGUAUUUGUUGAGGCAGAUUUAUAAAGCCAUGAGAACAUUCCAGAUUUACUAACUGAAUCUUAUGAUGCUCCUUGUUUUAGUGUCCUAGUACAGAAGGAAAUCCUAAUUAAUGCCUAAUAUGCUUUGACUGGUAUUUUUCCAAGUACUUCAACCCUUAAGAGUAAGUUUGGAUGAAGAGUGCAAGUGGUGAGUUCCUGCAUGAGUGCGAUUCGACCUUUUCUCAGCAGCUUGAAAUCGUAAUUUGUUGCUAUGUGUCUCAGUGGGCAAAUACAUGUAGAUAGGCGUAUAUAUAGGGACCUUAUGAAUAGUACUGUGUAUUUAUUGGCAUUCCUAGCCUCCUGUAGUACUUCCCAAACAUGCAAACUCUUGAUGUAAUUCCAUGGCCUUCAUUGACUGUAUAUUGGAUUAAUGAAGUAAUUAAAUCUAUGUUUCCUCAAUAGUAAUUUGGUAUAUUAUGGAUGAGCUGAAAAUUUUAAUCUUGAUUUUGAGAUGCAGUCUAUUUUCCAGUUUAUUAGUAUUAUUUGAUAUAUGUGAAUGACAGGAAAAAUUUACAUUAUUACUGUCCCAAUAUCAUCGUGGGAUAAACAACUUGGAAAGAUUAUUAUUUUUUUCCUACGGUGACACCUCGUGGCAAAAACAGGAUAACACAGGUAUUUGCAAUGGUAGCUUUUUGUGAGAAAAAACUUUAUUUUGAGAAACAUGUUAGGGUUCCAACAUGAAGAUGAGAUCAAAGAGGAAUUCCUCAUGAGAAGACUGUUGAAGUAAAGAAGUACAAGGAGUUUGAAGAAGGAACAACGAUGUCGUACGAAGGAAAAUAAAGUAAUCUGUUGUUAUGAAGUAAUAGAGGUAGUAAAUGUCUGGGUGCUGUGCACCAUUUCUUAUUGUUUAAGUUGGGUGCAACGCACCGUUUUGUAGUAGAGUCUUUUCAAUAGUCUGUAAACGCAUCGUUUGGUAUUUAAUCCAAAGGAUGCGUGUUUGUCACAUGGGUUUUAUACUGUUAGGAUCAACUUAGUUAUUCUCAAUUCUGUUAGGAAAAGAGAGCAUCUUAAAGUACAAAAGGGGUGAGUGGGAGAGGAGGAAGGAUCUGUAGAAGGAAUUACUCUGUAGUGGUUAUUUCAUCUUGGAGGUUAGGGAGCUCUCGAAGUUACUCCCGUAGCAAUUCCUUGUCAUUUUCCUUUCUAGCAUUUCUUCAUACACCUUGCAUGCACUCUGCUUUAUCCUUACAGAAACCACAUUCCAUUUCCACCAUCUAACCAAUGCACAACAGCACGCAACAAGCCUAAUAUCCACCACUAUUCAGCACACAAACAAGCCUAAUAUCCAUAACUAUCCAGAGUCUUAACAAAACAAUUAUUUCACAGGAAAUGAUGUUGGUGGGGAAUUCUUAAUUUCACAACUUCAUACUCUAUUUCCCACAA